UAAGGAAUAUUGGACAAUGGUCGCAAGACUGAUCCAGCCAUGCCGCGUGCAGGAAGACGGCCCUAUGGGUUGUAAACUGCUUUUGUACCAGAGAAAACCUAUCUACGUGUAGAUAGCUGAUAGUAUGGUAAGAAUAAGCAUCGGCUAACUUCGUGCCAGCAGCCGCGGUAAGACGAAGGAUGCAAGCGUUAUCCGGAUUCAUUGGGUUUAAAGGGUGCGUAGGCGGGCUUGUAAGUCAGUGGUGAAAGCCUGCAGCUUAACUGCAGAAUUGCCAUUGAUACUGUUAGUCUUGAGUACAGUUGAGGUAGGCGGAAUGUGUCAUGUAGCGGUGAAAUGCUUAGAUAUGACACAGAACACCGAUUGCGAAGGCAGCUUGCUAAGCUGUAACUGACGCUGAGGCACGAAAGCGUGGGGAGCAAACA
rnacentral:rRNA from 1 species